GCUGGGCACAGUAGCGCAUACCUGUAAUCCCAGUGGCACAGGAGGCUGAGGCAGAGGAAUCACAAGUUCAAAGCCAGUCUAAGGAACUUAGCAAGGCCCUAAGCAACUUAGUGAGACCUUGUCUCUA
rnacentral:sRNA from 1 species